AUAUCUGUUGCUGCCGUUAGGUUCCAAGCCUUGCUCAAAGCUUGUCUGUGAAUGACCUGGUACCUAUUACCACUGCUAGGGCGUUAACUUUAUCCAAGGGUUUUCUGUGCAUGAGCUAAUGCUUUGUACAUUGCAAGAGUUCAAGCCUUGCUCAAGGCUCGAUUAGAACGAACUGAGAUCUGCUGCCCCUACUAAGGUAUAAGCCUUGCCCAAGAGUUAUACUAGAACUGACGACUGCUUAUGCAUAAAAUUUGCUAUGUUGCGUUGCUUUUAUGAAUUUGAGUCUUACCUCAUCACCUACAUCAAAAUAAGCAAAAUCAU
rnacentral:lncRNA from 1 species